GACAGAGGAUGCAAGCGUUAUCCGGAAUGAUUGGGCGUAAAGCGUCUGUAGGUGUCUUUUCAAGUCCGCCGUCAAAUCCCAGGGCUCAACCCUGGACAGGCGGUGGAAACUACCAAGCUGGAGUACGGUAGGGGCAGAGGGAAUUUCCGGUUGGAGCGGUGAAAUGCAUUGAGAUCGGAAAGAACACCAACGGCGAAAGCAUACUAGCUGG
rnacentral:rRNA from 1 species